rnacentral:lncRNA from 1 species
GGCAAGGUUAUUUUACUGAAUGUGUUUUUUUUUCUUUCUUCUAGCUAUAAGGAAAGUCUCUGCUGGUCCCAGAGCUGACUUAACUAAAUGAUGGGCUGUGAAUUGGCAGGAAAAGUUUGCUCUGAAUUUAUUCAGGAUGGCAGGAUGAGAAAGCACUGAAAAAGCUGCAGACAAUCUACAUCCUUGUGCAAGAGGAGAAGUGUUAGACUCUGAUCACCUGAAGAAACGUAGGUCACAGGGACAGUGGUUGCCAGCAUGCCAUGACUGCUUGCAAAGCCAAAUUGAAACUUCAGCAUAGAGCGAAAAGGAGAAGGAUGACACUAGUGAACAUGUAAGUGAAUGUGUUUUUACUGCUUGAGCUCCUA